rnacentral:rRNA from 1 species
GAUGAACGCUGGCGGCGUGCCUAAUACAUGCAAGUCGAGCGAACGGACGAGAAGCUUGCUUCUCUGAUGUUAGCGGCGGACGGGUGAGUAACACGUGGAUAACCUACCUAUAAGACUGGGAUAACUUCGGGAAACCGGAGCUAAUACCGGAUAAUAUUUUGAACCGCAUGGUUCAAAAGUGAAAGACGGUCUUGCUGUCACUUAUAGAUGGAUCCGCGCUGCAUUAGCUAGUUGGUAAGGUAACGGCUUACCAAGGCAACGAUGCAUAGCCGACCUGAGAGGGUGAUCGCCCACCCGGGAGCGGAGACACGGUCCAGACUCCUACGGGAGGCAGCAGUAGGGAAUCUUCCGCAAUGGGCGAAAGCCUGACGGAGCAACGCCGCGUGAGUGAUGAAGGUCUUCGGAUCGUAAAACUCUGUUAUUAGGGAAGAACAUAUGUGUAAGUAACUGUGCACAUCUUGACGGUACCUAAUCAGAAAGCCACGGCUAACUACGUG